UUCAUCUCUUUGCCAUACAAUCCAAAUAUAGAGAUAGAGUACUAUAAUUUGUUCUCUAAAGCAAACCAUCAUUUCAUUUCAUUUCAUUUUGUGUUCUUGUUGAAAUGGCAUCUUGGACAGCAAGGCAAAACAAACUAUUUGAAGAAGCUCUUGCUAUAUAUGAUAGGGAAACACCUGACAGGUGGCACAAUGUUGCUAAAGUGGUUGGAAAAUCUGUUGAGGAUGUUAAAAGACAUUAUGAGGUACUCAUAGAAGAUAUCAAGCGCAUUGAGCGUGGUGAGGUUCCUUUUCCAUAUAAAAAAGGUUAAUCAUUAUUUAAAAUCCAAGAUUUGCAGUCGACAUCUUCCGUGUGCCUUAGCAAAAAAAAUGCAUCUCCAAAAGUGAUUUGUAAAGGAAUUUGCUUUCCAUGUAAACUGUGUUAUUUAUAGGUUGUGUUUGUUGUCCCAUGUAUAUAUCACUCGAGUGAAAUAAAAUUGUUUGUCAAGUUA